GCUUCUGGUUGUCAAUCCUGGCUGCCCACUAGAGUCACCUGGGAAACCUGUAAAGCCCAACAAUCAAGCCACACCUGACACCAAUGCAAUGAAGCUCUUUGGAAGUGGGUGGGGCCCAGGGUCCCGAGGCUUUAAAGCCCCCCUGUGAUUGCACUGUGUGGCCAGCUGGGGGAGCUCUUGCACGGAGUGGGCGGAAGGCUUGGAAUGCUCGCUCAUCCCAUACGCUUCCUGCAGAUCCUCAAGCCUUCUAGAAGAGUGCAUCGUAAAGCCUAGGCACCUCUUCAGGUCCUGUUCGGUCUUCUCCGGCAGCGUCUUGUCGCUGCUCCGCUGGCCAUGACCCUCACGUCCACAUGCUCUCGUGUCUUCUGGGCGCUUCUGCCUGCCCCUGCAUGCAGCUCCGGAGCAGCCGCUGCGACGCCGUUCCCCGCGGCAGCUGUGUCUGCACCGGAGCGGGCAGCGCCUCCAGGCGAGGCAAGAGAACAGACUGGAGAACCGAUUUUCAGUUUCCCUGUCCAUUCUGAAGAGCAAGCCUGGUGGUUGAUUGUCU